CCUAGAAUUAAUGAUAAACCAAUUUUCAAAACAAAUAUGCCAAAUUUAAGAUCAAAUUCUCAAAACAAACAUAACUCUGACAUUAUAAGGGGUAAUAAUUGUAACUGUAUAAAUAAGAAAAUAACAAUCUAUCUAGAGAAAGGCAAAGGAGUUAUUAAAUAUCUUUGUUCAUGCUUUCAGAAUAAUAAUAAAAAUGAAAAUCUCCAACUUAAGGAUUUUUCUUCAGAAAUAAAAAAUAUAACUCAUCAAGAUCUUAAAAACCAACC
rnacentral:lncRNA from 1 species